UACAGAGGCGGCAAGCGUUGUUCGGAAUUAUUGGGCGUAAAGAGCACGUAGGCGGCUGUGUAAGUCGGUUGUGAAAGCCUUCCGCUCAACGGAAGAACGGCAUCCGAUACUGCAUGGCUUGAGUGUGGGAGGGGAGAGUGGAACUUCUGGUGGAGCGGUGAAAUGCGUAGAUAUCAGAAGGAACACCGGCGGCGAAGGCGGGUUGCUGGGCCGAUACUGACGCUGAGGCGCGAAAGCCAGGGGAGCAAAC
rnacentral:rRNA from 1 species